CGCGGCGGUACGCGAGGACGCCGAGCUGCAGGCGUGGGCGAUGGAGAUCUUCGUCAAUGGUUUCUUGAGCAGGACGUCUUCGGGUAUCCCGUCCUCGCUGCGGACGGUGGCGGAGCUCGGCAAGUUCCUCACCAUGGUGGUGUUCACCUGCUCGGUGCAGCACGCGGCCGUCAACAACGGGCAGUACGACCUGGGAGCCUUCGUCCCCAACGCUCCCUCCUCCAUGCGCCACCCGCCGCCAA